AAGCCGCUUUUUUACAUGACUUCCAAUGAGGAAGGUUAGAACAGCUGAUUAUAGUCGCAUGGGUCUCCAUAUAUUAGGUAUAUCAAGUUCAUUCAUGGAUGAUAACCAUUUUCUUUACUUAUUCAGUGAAAAGAGAAUUGAGUUUCACAACUUUUUGUUUAUUUGUGUUAAGUGAAGUCACAUGGUGAUAUUACGACGCUCGUAGAAGACAUUGUCAGGCGGGGAGUUUGACUGGGGUGGUACAUCUACCAAACUGUAACGUAGGUGUCCUAAGGCUAGCUCAAAGUGAACGGAAACCUCUCGUAGAGCAAAAGAGCAAAAGCUCGCCUGAUCUUGACUUUCAGUAUGAGUAUAGACCCCGAAAGAGUGGCCUAUCGAUCCUUUUAAUCCAGAGAGUUUCUGGUAAGAGGUGUCAGAAAAGUUGCCACAGGGAUAACUGGCUUGUGGCAGCCAAGCGUCCAUAGCGGCGUUGCUUUUUGAUCCUUCGAUGUCGGCUCUUCCUAUCAUUGCGAAGCAGAGUUCGCCAAGCGUUGGAUUGUUCACCCACUAAUAGGGAACGUGAGGUGGAUUAGAUCGUCGUGAGGCAGGUUAGUU
rnacentral:ncRNA from 1 species